rnacentral:rRNA from 1 species
GACGAACGCUGGCGGCGUGCUUAACACAUGCAAGUCGAACGAUGAAGAAGAGAAACGCGAACUUCGGUUCAAAUUUCACUUCGGAUUAGUGGCAGACGGGUGAGUAACGCGUGAGCAACCUACCUCUUACAAAGGGAUAGCCUCGGGAAACCGUGAUUAAUACCAUAUGACACACUCAUAAGGCAUCUUAAGAAUGUUAAAGCUACGGCGGUAAGAGAUGGGCUCGCGUCCCAUUAGCUAGUUGGUGAGGUAACGGCCCACCAAGGCGACGAUGGGUAACCGGCCUGAGAGGGUGAACGGUCACAUUGGAACUGAGACACGGUCCAAACUCCUACGGGAGGCAGCAGUGGGGAAUAUUGCACAAUGGAGGGAACUCUGAUGCAGCGACGCCGCGUGAGCGAUGAAGGAAUUCGUUUCGUAAAGCUCUGUUCUAUGGGAAGAAAAGGACUGUACCAUAGGAGAAAGCCCCGGCUAAAUACGUG